GAUGAACGCUGGCGGCGUGCCUAAUACAUGCAAGUCGAGCGAACAGACGAGGAGCUUGCUCCUCUGACGUUAGCGGCGGACGGGUGAGUAACACGUGGAUAACCUACCUAUAAGACUGGGAUAACUUCGGGAAGCCGGAGCUAAUACCGGAUAAUAUAUUGAACCGCAUGGUUCAAUAGUGAAAGACGGUUUUGCUGUCACUUAUAGAUGGAUCCGCGCCGCAUUAGCUAGUUGGUAAGGUAACGGCUUACCAAGGCGACGAUGCGUAGCCGACCUGAGAGGGUGAUCGGCCACACUGGAACUGAGACACGGUCCAGACUCCUACGGGAGGAAGCAGUAGGGAAUCUUCCGCAAUGGGCGAAAGCCUGACGGAGCAACGCCGCGUGAGUGAUGAAGGUCUUCGGAUCGUAAAACUCUGUUAUUAGGGAAGAACAAAUGUGUAAGUAACUAUGCACGUCUUGACGGUACCUAAUCAGAAAGCCACGGCUAACUACGUG
rnacentral:rRNA from 1 species